UUCCUACGGGAGGCAGCAGUGGGGAAUAUUGCACAAUGGGGGAAACCCUGAUGCAGCAACGCCGCGUGAGCGAUGAAGGCCUUCGGGUCGUAAAGCUCUGUCCUAAGGGAAGAUAAUGACGGUACCUUAGGAGGAAGCCCCGGCUAACUACGUGCCAGCAGCCGCGGUAAUACGUAGGGGGCAAGCGUUAUCCGGAAUAACUGGGCGUAAAGGGUGCGUAGGCGGCCCUGCAAGUCAGAAGUGAAAGGCUACGGCUCAACCGUAGUAAGCUUUUGAAACUGUAGGGCUUGAGUGCAGGAGAGGAGAGUAGAAUUCCUAGUGUAGCGGUGAAAUGCGUAGAUAUUAGGAGGAAUACCAGUUGCGAAGGCGGCUCUCUGGACUGUAACUGACGCUGAGGCACGAAAGCGUGGGGAGCGAACAGGAUUAGAUACCCUGGUAGUCCACGCCGUAAAUGAUGAGUGCUAGGUGUCGGGGGUUACCCCCCUCGGUGCCGCAGCUAACGCAUUAAGCACUCCGCCUGGGGAGUACGCUCGCAAGAGUGAAACUCAAAGGAAUUGACGGAA
rnacentral:rRNA from 1 species